rnacentral:rRNA from 1 species
UACGUAGGGGGCUAGCGUUGUCCGGAAUCAUUGGGCGUAAAGAGCGUGUAGGCGGCCAGGUAGGUCUGCUGUGAAAAGUCGAGGCUCAACCUCGAGACGUCGGCGGAAACCAUCUGGCUAGAGUCCGGAAGAGGAGAGUGGAAUUCCUGGUGUAGCGGUGAAAUGCGCAGAUAUCAGGAAGAACACCCGUGGCGAAGGCGGCUCUCUGGGACGGUACUGACGCUGAGACGCGAAAGCGUGGGGAGCGAACAGG